GACGAACGCUGGCGGCGUGCUUAACACAUGCAAGUCGAACGGAAAGGCCCUGCUUUUGUGGGGUGCUCGAGUGGCGAACGGGUGAGUAACACGUGAGUAACCUGCCCUUGACUUUGGGAUAACUUCAGGAAACUGGGGCUAAUACCGGAUAGGAGCUCCUGCUGCAUGGUGGGGGUUGGAAAGUUUCGGCGGUUGGGGAUGGACUCGCGGCUUAUCAGCUUGUUGGUGGGGUAGUGGCUUACCAAGGCUUUGACGGGUAGCCGACCUGAGAGGGUGACCGGCCACAUUGGGACUGAGAUACGGCCCAGACUCCUACGGGAGGCAGCAGUGGGGAAUAUUGCACAAUGGGCGGAAGCCUGAUGCAGCAACGCCGCGUGCGGGAUGACGGCCUUCGGGUUGUAAACCACUUUCGCCUGUGACGAAGCGUGAGUGACGGUAAUGGGUAAAGAAGCACCGGCUAACUACGUG
rnacentral:rRNA from 1 species